AAUAUUGGACAUUGGGGGGAACCCUGAACCAGCCAUCCCGCGUGUGCGACGAAGGCCUUCGGGUUAUAAAGCACGUUUGUUUGGAAAGAAAUUGCAUAGGAUAAUACCCUGAGUGGAUGACGAUACCGGCAGCAUAAGUACCGGCUAACUACGUGCCAGCAGCCGCGGUAAUACGUAGGGUGCAAGCGUUAAUCGGAAUUACUGGGCGUAAAUCGUGCGCAGGCGGUUCGGAAAGAAAGAUGUGAAAUCCCAGGGCUUAACCUUGGAACUGCAUUUUUAACUACCGGGCUAGAGUGUGUCAGAGGGAGGUGGAAUUCCGCGUGUAGCAGUGAAAUGCGUAGAUAUGCGGAGGAACACCGAUGGCGAAGGCAGCCUCCUGGGAUAACACUGACGCUCAUGCACGAAUGCGUGGGCAGCAAACA
rnacentral:rRNA from 1 species